rnacentral:tRNA from 1 species
GAAGGUACAGCUCAAGUAGUAGAGCACGUGCUUAGCAUGCGCAAGACUCUGGGUUCAAUCCCCAGUACCUCCU